UACCUUCGUCCUCGUAAUAGCCGGAGGCCGGACCUGCUCGCGGCAGCAUCAGAAGCGGAGCCAUUACCGCCGCCGUGCACGGCGGCCACCGCGGAGCUGACGGGGACUGAGCUGCGAAGCCUCGAGGAGGUCAUGAUCGUCCUGGACGGCGGCGCGGCAGGCUGAGUUCUCAGGUGGCCAGGCGCACGGAGCGACGAGAACCUGCAGAGUGUCAAGGAGGAGGAGGGAGGAGGAGAGAGAGGGAAGAGAGAGAGGAUGGAGAGGCGGUGAAACUGGUAGACUUUGUGAGGACGCAUCAUUUCAGCGGAUGGAUGGGAUGGAUUAAUAAUCUAAAAGCGUCCCAUGUCCAUCGUCUUCUUUGUUGGG